rnacentral:misc_RNA from 1 species
GAUGAAGAACGUAGCGAAAUGCGAUACGUAAUGUGAAUUGCAAAUUCAGUGAAUCAUCGAAUCUUUGAACGCACAUUGCGCCCGCUGGUAUUCCGGCGGGCAUGCCUGUUCGAGCGUCAUUUCAACCCUCAAGCCCCCGGGUUUGGUGUUGGGGAUCGGCUCUGCCCUUCUGGGCGGUGCCGCCCCCGAAAUACAUUGGCGGUCUCGCUGCAGCCUCCAUUGCGUAGUAGCUAACACCUCGCAACUGGAACGCGGCGCGGCCAUGCCGUAAAACCCCAACUUCUGAAUGUUGACCUCGGAUCAGGUAGGAAUACCCGCUGAACUUAAGCAUAUCAAUAAGCGGAGGA